rnacentral:lncRNA from 7 species
AUUGAAUUUAGAUCCUGAAGAUGAUGCUGAUACCUGCCUCCUUACCUCUUAACAAACUGCGAUAGUUUCUGUACCUACUCAUAUUUGCAAGAGAAAUCCUGAGGCAGAGCUGGAUCUAGACAACAAGUCCACCCCAGAUAAGAUCCAACUGCAGAGACCAGCUUCAGGGCAGCCCUGUGUGGACGCCACCUGCCAAGGACGGUCUUUUGCAGAAAUAAACAGCAAAAACAUAGACUGUAUGAGCCUGGGGAAAAGCCUACGUGGUGGAAAAAAAGGACAUGAAAAAUAAAUGAAGGUGAUAUGGUUUUAACGCGGAUCUAGAGAGAAGUCCGUGACAAGUCUAUUGGGUUGGCUGCUGGGGACAGGAGCCGUCACGUGGCUGUGGUACAUGGCUGCUCCUGCGGUGUCUUCAGGGCUGGUUCUGGGAGUGGCGUCGUGCCUGAGAUGGCCGCCGCUGCCUGGGACUGCGGCUCUGGCUUCCUCCAGACUGUCUUGGGGAAUUGGAAGCCCGACGAUCCCGCGGGGAACGGCUUCGUUCCUGGUUCUGGGAAUGCCUUCUGUGUUCAGGCAGCGCGGAAUCCCUGGAGGACCUGGAUGUCACCUGUCUGCCAGAGCUCUGGGAGCCGCUCUCAGCACUAAGCCUGCUGCCACGGCGUCCUCGGGGCUGGCUCGAGGAAUUUGAUGCCGGACCUUGGAGGGAGGAUUGGCUCUGUCUCCGGCUUGUGCCUUGCUCUUUGUGGCAUCUUAUGCUUCCAGCCCCUGGGGAAUUCCUGGAUGCCCUGCGGCUGCCAGAGGUGUGCGUGCUGCUCUCAGCACCUGGGGCUGGAGUACGUCUGCCGCUGGCAGUAGCUGAGGCCGCAGUACGUCUGCCGCUCACAGUAGCUGAGGCUGCACUACGUCUGCUGCCAGGAUUUCUUCUGAGCUGGCUCGGGGAAUUGGAGGCACGAUCCUUCAGCGGAGAGCGGCUUCUUGUCCGGCCUGUGCCCUGCUGCCCAGAUUGCCUUCUGCGUUCAGCCACUGGGCAAUUUCUGGAGGACCCCACUUCCCGCUUGCUGGUGGAUCCGCGGGGGCUGCUCUCAGCACCUGGAGCUGGUGUAGGGCUGCUCCCUUGGUGUCCUUGGUGCUGCUUAGAUGUAUGUCCGCGGCUCUUGCUCUGUCCUGUCCUGGGCUGGCUGGACAGGCUGCUGCGCUUAGGCAGCUGAGAACCACAGGGUGACUCCGAUGCUGCCUUGCUGGUGGAGUCGGAUCUGUGGUUGCCAGGUUCUGGGGAGCUAGGAGAUGGCCCCUCUGCCUCCUGGCUGGCAGUGCUGGGACCAGCAAGCUGCGGCUCGUCACUGGAGGCUGUAAGGAGAGGCAGGAAGGUCAGCCGGAUGACCCGGCAGCCCCAUGGUGGGCGAGGUUCCCAUCCAUCCAGGGGCAGAGGAACUCUGGCAAAGCCGCUCUGAGGACCCGCUGCCAGGCCUUGCCUGGCCCCAAGCCAGCAGUACACGGCUGUUUGCCUCUUACCUGUGCCCACGCCAGCACAGAUGUCACACUCCCAGCUUGUUAUGCUCUCGCUCAAGGAGGAGCAGUGCCGGUGGGUGCCUUGCACAGCACAAGAGGUGCAAACGAGCAGCUCCCAGGGCCUGGGG